UCUAUCGUCGCCGCACCCAAACCCUAACUCCACUCCUAUCCCCUCUCUCCCCCGAUUCAGAUGCACUCCCCGCAGCCGCCACCUACCUCCCGUCCCCGAUUCAGCCGAUCCCGCCGCCAGCGCCCGCGCGCCACCAUCCCCCUCCUCCUCGCCUUCCAGAUUGCGCCGCCACCUCCCUCCCCAUCCCCUCCUGGAUCUCUCCCUCGGUGAGCCACCAGCGAGCCCCUCUGCUGCCCUCGCACGCACAACCUGGGCUCCUGCUUCUCUCCAUCGAUCCCCUCCGCAUGCUUGCCGUCAUCUCCUCCCUCCGUAGCAUCGACCCCAAGGUGUUGGCGCAGGCGACCAGGAAGUUGUUCCAGGGCGAGCCAGCGAAGAGGCGGAAGGGAAUUUGGAUCAAGAUCAGCAACUGCGAGGAGGGGGAGGAAGUGAGAGGGGCAGCAUGGUGGCCUGCGAGGGGAGCACCAUCAUGGGAGCCGUGUCCUCCCGGUCCAUGGCCACAUCGAGGAGAUGCCACUGACCUCCGCUCGCGAGCGGCAGCUGUGAGAGUCUGGUGCGGAGAGCGGACUCGAUCAUGAAGUGGCUCUCGCGGUCCAAGACGGCGCCGGCCAUGGAGAUGGCCAUUCGCGUUGCCGUCGGCGACAAUGCUGUAACCAGCAAGGCUCUGCGCUGGUUGCCGAAGCAGAAGAGAGGGUUGCGUCGUGCGGGCACUAGUUGCCGCCUGGAUCCGUAUCUAUACAUGGUACAUGGAAUCUGUGCCACACAAUUUGCGUUUGGAUGAUGAUUUGAUUUCUGAAGAAAAAUUGCUAAAAAAACAAACGCCAAUCCACGAGCAGGGAGCGGAAGGCGCAACCAGCGACCAGUGAGCGCAUGGGUGGCACAAGUGGCAACGGAGAGUGGCCGGAGACUGCCAGUGGUGAGCGGCGACGGCGACCUCGAGACCAGCAAGUAGGCGACAACAACCUCAUUGUGAAGUGGCUGAAUCGACUUGAGGCGGUUUCUUCGAGAUUCUUGGAAAUGCUUUGGUUAGUGAGCAGCAUUAGGAGGAGGAGCUCAAGCAGGCCACCAUGAUGCACCACCGCAGCAGCAGACUCGAAGGAGACCGUAUGCAAGGCACCUCCUCUUCGGUUGUGAAAGUGUCCAGGGGUCGUGGGUGCGGCUAAGGGGUCAUGAGUGCGGCUAAUGCCUAUGUCUGUGGCCGCACUUGACAUUGCCCUCUCUUUAAGGGCACGUAUCAUUUUUUUCUAACUCUGCUAUCUUUUCCCAAGUCUUUAUUAUCUUGCCUAGCCUUGUAUUGAUAUGUAUUGUUUGGUGCUAAUUACCCAAGUUAGUGCAUGAUGUUAAGGAUAACCUGAGAACACUUGCCUAAGUUUAUAAGAUAUGACAUGUGACAGUCCAAGCAUGCUGCUCUUUCAAUGCAUUUGCUGUUGUAUUGUGCUCCUCCAGUUGUUUGAAUGCUUCUGCUGCUAGCCUGGUAGGCUGCUACUAGCUUGAAUAGGUGUGCACUUGUGCUGGUGGUGGUGCUGCUUGUGUUGCUGCUGCUGAUUUAAUGCUUAGGCUGACGCUGUUGUUGAUUAAAUGCUUAUGUUGUUGCUGCAUGCUUAUGCUACUGAUUCAAUGCUUUGGAAAUUGAUUGAAUUGAACCUGUUGUAAUCCUCCCUGUUAUACUCGUAUUUAAUUUUUGGGUUUCUAUUUGAUUUUUUAGUCUGUUAUAUAUGGUUCAUCUUUAGUUUCUUCUGUAACCUGCAUGGAGCUUAGAAUACACAACCCAACUAGUCUCAUAUACAACUAAGACCAAUGAUUCAUGCUCAAUUUUGUAUAUGUAUGUAUGACCAGUAAAGUUGGAAGGCCUAAAUCUUAAAGUUAAUAAUAUGCUCAAUUAUGUACCAUAUUCAGCUCAUGCAUCACCAGUUACUGCUUUUUUGCUUGGUCUAUUUUGGCUCAUAACCUAAGUAUACCAAAACUGAUUAAAUGAUUUCUCCAACUUGCCAAAAUUGUCAUAAUUGUCUCAUGCCUUGUGAUGUUAGUAUCUAUGCACUUACUAGUAUUGUUAGUUGAAUGGAUGGUCAUGGUAGUAGACUAGGAAUUUUCUUGAGGUGAGUGUUAUAGUGAUGUUCAUUUCAUUACCUAAACUUUGUACCAAUGUACCAUGCAGGUAUGUAUAGAUUACUAUUGUAGAACAACAUCAGGUUAAUCUGUUGCAUUCAAGUUGUUGGAAGUUUUGUUAUGCCAUGCUUAGUGUUUACUGAACUGGGGCAUUUGGGCAUGUAUCUACAAAUUUUAGCCUCUUGAAAGAAUAUUAUUUACUUCCAGCGUAUUUCACUAAUAGCUUAUCUAGAUCAGGAUCUAAUGUCGUCGAGACUGCUGUUGCUGUGACAGAAGAUCAGAAGAAGCUUGGAGAUGCGCGCCAUAGUUUUAGUUGAUGUUGCCACCAAGUUUUGGUGCUUGUGUAUCUGUUUUUGAUUGUUUGUGCACUUGUUGGGUGUGCAAACGUGUAUGUGCUCUUGUGAGUAUUUGACUGCAUGAUUAAUGUAUUUAAUCAUUUAAAUGAGAGAUUUAUUAUUUUUUGCUGUUCAA